rnacentral:rRNA from 1 species
UACGUAGGUGGCAAGCGUUGUCCGGAAUUAUUGGGCGUAAAGAGCUCGUAGGUGGUUUGUUACGUCUGCUGUGAAAACCUAGGGCUUAACCCUGGGCUUGCAGUGGAUACGGGCAGACUAGAGGUAGGUAGGGGAGAAUGGAAUUCCUGGUGUAGCGGUGAAAUGCGUAGAUAUCUGGAGGAACACCGGUGGCGAAGGCGGCAUCCUGGACCAAUUCUGACGCUGAGGAGCGAAAGCCAGGGGAGCAAACGGG